rnacentral:rRNA from 1 species
CCUACGGGUGGCAGCAGUGAGGAAUAUUGGUCAAUGGCCGGAAGGCUGAACCAGCCAUGCCGCGUGAAGGUCAGUGCCCUAUGGGCUGUAAACUUCUUUUGUGCGGGAGCAAUAAUGGUCACGUGUGGCCAGACGAGAGUACCGUACGAAUAAGCAUCGGCUAACUCCGUGCCAGCAGCCGCGGUAAUACGGGGGAUGCAAGCGUUAUCCGGAUUUAUUGGGUUGAAAGGGUGCGUAGGCUGUGAGGUAAGUCAGCGGUGAAAUGCCCACGCUUAACGGGGUGAAGUGCCAUUGAUACUGGGUUGCUAGAAUGCGGAUGCGGUGAGAGGAUUGUGUAGUGUAGCGGUGAAAUGCGUAGAUAUCA